CAGCAGCCGCGGUAAUACGAUGGGGGCUAGCGUUGUUCGGAUUUACUGGGCGUAAAGGGCGCGUAGGCGGUUUCGCAAGUCUUGUGUGAAAUCUAUGGGCUCAACCCAUAGUCUGCACAGGAAACUGCGAGGCUUGAGGAUGGGAGAGGUGAGUGGAAUUUCCGGUGUAGCGGUGAAAUGCGUAGAGAUGUGGAGGAACACCAGUGGCGAAGGCGACUCUCUGGUCUGUAACUGACGCUGAGGAGCGAAAGCGUGGGGAGCGAACAGGAUUAGAUACCCGGGUAGUCCCUGUCUCUUAUAC
rnacentral:rRNA from 1 species